rnacentral:rRNA from 1 species
GAUGAACGCUGGCGGCGUGCUUAACACAUGCAAGUCGAGCGAACGGACGAGAAGCUUGCUUCUCGGAUGUUAGCGGCGGACGGGUGAGUAACACGUGCAUAACCUACCUAUAAGACUGGGAUAACUUCGGGAAACCGUAGCUAAUACCGGAUAAUAUUUUGAACCGCAUGGUUCAAAAGUGAAAGACGGUCUUGCUGUCACUUAUAGAUGGAUCCGCGCUGCAUUAGCUAGUUGGUAAGGUAACGGCUUACCAAGGCGACGAUGCAUAGCCGGCCUGAGAGGGUGAUCAGCCACACUGGGACUGAGACACGGUCCAGACUCCUACGGGAGGCAGCAGUAGGGAAUCUUGGGGAAUGGGCGAAAGCCUGACGGAGCAACGCCGCGUGAGUGAUGAAGGUCUUCGGAUGGUAAACCUCUGUUGUUAGGGAAGAACAUAUGUGUGAGUAACUAUGCGCGUCUUGACGGUACCUGAAGAAAAAGCCACGGCUAACUACGUG